rnacentral:rRNA from 1 species
UUGGGGGAAAGGCGAAAAGAACCCCGGGAGGGGAGUGAAAUAGAUCCUGAAACCGCAUGCUUACAAAAAGUAGGAGCCCGCAAGGGUGACUGCGUACCUUUUGUAUAAUGGGUCAGCGACUUACAUUCAGUGGCAAGGUUAACCGAAUAGGGAAGCCGUAGAGAAAUCGAGUCCGAAUAGGGCGUCUAGUCGCUGGGUGUAGACCCGAAACCAAGUGAUCUAUCCAUGGCCAGGAUGAAGGUGCCGUAACAGGUACUGGAGGUCCGAACCGACUAGUGUUGCAAAACUAGCGGAUGAGCUGUGGAUAGGGGUGAAAGGCUAAACAAACUUGGAAAUAGCUGGUUCUCUCCGAAAACUAUUUAGGUAGUGCCUCAAGUAUUACCUUCGGGGGUAGAGCACUGUUUUGGCUAGGGGGUCAUGGCGACUUACCAAACCAAGGCAAACUCCGAAUACCGAAGAGUAGAGCUUGGGAGACAGAGCACCGGGUGCUAACGUCCGGACUCCAGAGGGAAACAACCCAGACCGCCAGCUAAGGUCCCUAAAAUUGGCUAAGUGGGAAACGAAGUGGGAAGGCUAAAACAGUCAGGAUGUUGGCUUAGAAGCAGCCAUCAUUUAAAGAAAGCGUAAUAGCUCACUGAUCGAGUCGUCCUGCGCGGAAGAUGUAACGGGGCUAAGCCAGUUACCGAAGCUGCGGAUUUGCAAUUUAUUGCAAGUGGUAGGAGAGCGUUCUGUAAGCCUGUGAAGGUGCGUCGUAAGGCGUGCUGGAGGUAUCAGAAGUGCGAAUGCUGACAUGAGUAGCGUUAAAGGGGGUGAAAAGCCCCCUCGCCGUAAGCGCAAGGUUUUCUACGCAACGUUCAUCGGCGUAGAGUGAGUCGGCCCCUAAGGCGAGGCAGAGAUGCGUAGCUGAUGGGAAACAGGUCAAUAUUCCUGUACCGAUGUGUAGUGCGAUGUGGGGACGGAUCUUAAUAGGUCAUCCGGGUGUUGGAUAUCCCGGUUUAGUUGGAAGUAGGCGAUGGGUAGGCAAAUCCGCCCGUCAUAUACCGAGGCCAAUGAUCGAGCCAGCUUGCUGGUGAAGUGACUGAACGAGGUUCCAGGAAAAGCCACUAAGCUUCAGCUACACACGACCGUACCGCAAACCGACACUGGUGCGCGAGAUGAGUAUUCUAAGGCGCUUGAGAGAACUCAGGAGAAGGAACUCGGCAAAUUGACACCGUAACUUCGGAAGAAGGUGUGCCCUAUUAGUGUGAAGUGAACAACGGAGCAUGAAUGGGUCGCAAAAAAUCGGUGGCUGCGACUGUUUAUUAAAAACACAGCACUCUGCAAACACGAAAGUGGACGUAUAGGGUGUGACGCCUGCCCGGUGCUGGAAGAUUAAAUGAUGGGGUGCAAGCUCUUGAUUGAAGUCCCAGUAAACGGCGGCCGUAACAAUAACGGUCCUAAGGUAGCGAAAUUCCUUGUCGGGUAAGUUCCGACCUGCACGAAUGGCGUAACGAUGGCCACACUGUCUCCUCCUGAGACUCAGCGAAGUUGAAAUGUUUGUGAUGAUGCG